ACUACGGGUGGCAGCAGUGGGGAAUAUUGCACAAUGGGGGAAACCCUGAUGCAGCGACGCCGCGUGGGUGAGGGAGUACUUCGGUAUGUAAAGCUCUAUCAGCAGGGACGAAGAAAGACGGUACCUGACUAAGAAGCCCCGGCUAACUACGUGCCAGCAGCCGCGGUAAUACGUAGGGGGCGAGCGUUAUCCGGAUUUACUGGGUGUAAAGGGAGCGUAGACGGCAAGGCAAGCCAGGAGUGAAAGGGCGGGGCCCAACCCUGGACAUGCGUUUGGAACUGUGGUGCUAGAGUGCGGGAGGGGUAGGUGGAAUUCCUGGUGUAGCGGUGAAAUGCGUAGAUAUUAGGAGGAACACCAGCGGCGAAGGCGGCUUACUGGACUGCGACUGACGUUGAGGCUCGAAAGCGUGGGGAGCAAACAGGAUUAGAUACCCCAGUAGUC
rnacentral:rRNA from 1 species